rnacentral:rRNA from 1 species
GGGGAAUCUUCCGCAAUGGGCGAAAGCCUGACGGAGCAAUACCGCGUGAGGGAGGAAGGCCUUUGGGUUGUAAACCUCAAAACUUAGGGAAGAAGAAAGUGACGGUACCUAACAUAAGCAUCGGCUAACUCCGUGCCAGCAGCCGCGGUAAUACGGAGGAUGCAAGCGUUAUCCGGAAUUAUUGGGCGUAAAGAGUCCGUAGGUGGAACUUCAAGUCUGCAGUCAAAGACCAGAGCUUAACUCAGGAAAGGCAGUGGAAACUGAAGAACUAGAGUGUGGGAGGGGUAGAGGGAAUUCCCAGUGUAGCGGUGAAAUGCGUAGAGAUUGGGAAGAACACCAGUGGCGAAGGCGCUCUACUGGACCAAAACUGACACUGGGGGACGAAAGCUAAGGGAGCGAAAGGGAUUAGAUACCCCUGUAGUC